GUGAAAAUACAUAUGGUAUGUUGUAUCUGAACAGGUUAGCUUACGAGCUAAAGUUACUUAGCACAGAUGAAAGUUAAAACAAAGACGUUUAGUAAACUGUUAAAGCACACAAACCAUCGUCAUAUGAGAAAUCCGACGCUAUGACUCUCCACAUUCUACAGUUCACAUUCUACAAAUUCAAAUACUGUAACAAUAACACUAAAUAAAGAAUAAAUAGAAACAGUCUAUAAACAUGACCAUCAGGCAGUAGUGCAGUUGAGGCAUUUGGACAUGCACGGACUUGUCUAAUUUCACUAAAACAACCACAGAAGAAGAGUUGUAUUUACGCCUGUGCUGUCAACAAACCAACAAACGCAGCCGUGGCUCACAGGAGUUUACCCACUGUUAAAUGUUGUCACUAGAUGGCGCCCUUGCGUACUUAUUUUAUUGUUCUGUCAAAGGUUGCACUGAGCAUACAGAUGUGACAUGAUUACGCUGUAUGUACGCCUUUUUAUGUUAACGGAGGAGCAGACAUGACACCUGCGGUUGUGUUUUAUGCUAGAGUGUUAAUAACGAAACCUACUGUACUGGCAUCAAUAAAUAAGCCAAAGGUUAGAGAGUGAAGAUCAAGUCAGGUAAGAGAGUCACGAUCGGAAUAAGUAUUGACAUGGACGCGUUUUGGAAUAAGGAUCAGCAUUAACAACUCCUCCUGAUCAGAAUACAAUUUCUUUCCGAUUGAGUGGAAUUGGAUUGGAAUCUUCCAAUCGACAUGUUUACAUGACGCAUUUUUAUUUAUCAUGAUGCGUUUCGGAAACGCAUAUCAACAUGUUAACAUGACAUUAUACAGAUUAUUUUUGCCUAUUUAAACGCAGCUAUUGUCACCUUUAUAAAUCAACUUGAGGACCUUUCACAUAUCCAGCCCUCUUCACGCCCAAAAAUGGUCAUUCCAAAGCACCUAAUGGGUGAAAAUGUAUAAGCUAGCCCAGAGAUCAAGCUCUUUGUAAAUGAAGUAGUGGUAAGAGAGCACUCUUUGUUCCUGCAGGAGGCCCACAACUGAAUCAAAGCAUCAGUGAGUGACACCUCAUUGCUGUCAUAUUCACAUCCCGCAGUGCCAGUGCAUCCAUCAUUUCCAUCACGCCCGGUUGUCGCCGCAGUGUUUCUAUAUUUACAAGAUCCACAUUAAUUGUUUUAAACACAACAACAUCAUGUUAACACCAAGCAGCCAUCUCCUCCUCUCUCUGUGAUAUUAUUUGUGAUCAGAUGUUUCGUGUCAGUCGAUUUGUUUUUCUCAUUUAUGCUCUUGAGCAAAGUGAGAAAAAGUCAUUUGAUAAAACCCCAAAUUCAAACCUUGGACUGGCAGAUAUCUCCUGAUCUAUCACAGGAAAAAACGUGACUUCCUUUUUCUCUCCGAGGUCUGACCUUCAUUAUGAUUUUGUUCCCAAAAAAUGAAAAAACCAACAACUGACCAGCUGCCGUUAAUCACCCGAAUAUGAAUCAAGCCGCUGCUGCACACGUUUUUCUGAUUGAACAGAUAAAGCCUUGAUCAUGCACACCUUGAUAAUAUCUUGUGUCGUGAUUUCCGCCCUGCAUGAGCUCCCACAUUGUUGCUCAGGCGUAGUCUGAAAUUCUGCACAAUGGCAGACAAACACAGUGUAUUACCUCUCAGAGUUGCACAUGCAAGCCGAUGGCUGAGGGAGAUUAUCUCUCCGCCGCUACAAAGCCAUGAAUGGACGCUAUGCAUGCACGCAUUAUUACAUCAGGUGUAAGCACGCGAUUCCCGAGGAUCAGUAACCCAGAAACUCUUUGAUUUACCAGAUCAGGAAAGCUUAUUCUUUAUUCCUGCAUGUUAGUAGAACGCGCACCCGCUGUGACUAAUCUGCUGGAGGAAGAAAAGAAAACCAAGUAGAUUUCAGGAAAUAGCUGUUUCAGGCAUGAUGUGGUUCAAAGAUAAUUUCCAAGUGUUGAUAUUUCAGUGUCGGUUGUUUGAAUUCCUCUAGAAGGACUGGAAAGCUCGAACGAAAUAUUGGGUGAGAAACAGUCUCUGGUGGAUGUGGCCUUUUAAUUUAUUUCACACCUUUACAAUGAGGAGUUUAUUUCAGCUUUUACAGUCCAGGAAAAGGGGUGUGCAGCCGCUGAUAAUGCUGCGAUUUAUGACCUCUAUUACAAUAAAACAGCAACUCUUUUAUAGAAACUGUUCAUUAAAACAAAGCAAUCCCAGUGGAAUUUUGUACCCAAACAUGAGGAAAAGUGCAUUGAUCUCCAAAAUAAGCUGUGGAAAUGGGCUUUGUUUUGUAUUAAAUGUACAUUUAUUCCUUUUGUAUUAACAUGAGUAGCAUAUUAUUAAAAGUUCCCAGCCACCGUCGGCCUUUAAUCUAAAUUUAGUGAACUUUUAGAUCACAAACCCCUCUUUCUAAAAAGAUGUGAUGCUUUGAUUUGAUACAAGCAAAAUAUUUGUAAAAAGUUUUGGACAAUUAUUCUAAAAGCAACCAAAGGAGAUGACUGUGUUACAAAGAGAGGCAUCCAAGAGAGGCUGGAGCUGUUAAAAGUAGAUGUUCAAAACAGAUGUUCAUGUCUGUGAUUAAAAAUUUUUGUUAAAGAUUGACUGAAGCGACAUCCUUUUUAGAAACCAUGGUUACCGCAUCAUCAGGAGUGAGGCCAUCUAGUUUCAAAGCAAGCAUCUGUGAUGUAUAUCAAGGAUGGAAUCAUUAAUCCUAGAUGAAAAAUAGUUAUGUUUUGUUGCAAAAUGACUUUUUUCUGAGGACUUUUGAUUUCAAAUUAAGACAAUGCUGAACCACAUUUGACUCUUUUUACAACAGCAUGUCUCUAAAAAAGAGAUGAACUGUAAUCCAGUUUUUUGGACAAGGAAGUGAAAAAAAUAAAAUAAAACAUGGAUCAAAAAUUUGACAUUCUCUUUGGAAACCAGGUACAUUUCAUUUUCUGUGUGAAAGAGCGCAUAGUUCACCUCCACACUAUUUAGGUUGAUUUAAAGCAGCCCUAACCCUAACUGAGACACUUAAGGCCGAAAGGUCCUUACACACCGGGAACGACGCAAAUAUACGACCCGAAAUUACAGAAUAUUCAGAGGUGAAUUUUGACGCACCUGACUAUACACAUCAGGCCCGAUGCGAUUUUGUGACUUUCCGAGGGAAAAAAGACGCGUCCCGGGUGGAAGCGAGAAGACUCUGACACAGUUCUGAUUAGACACUAGUGUUGAGAUGUCUGUCUGUCAUGAUAGCAUGUACUGAGUCGGGGCCAGUACCAGAUAAGAACAUUAAACUAUAAUCCAUAGACGUAAGGUAACAACUGAGACCUACUGGCGCUGUGAUUGAGUUUGAGACUGUGAAAAUACAUAUGGUAUGUUGUAUCUGAACAGGUUAGCUUACGAGCUAAAGUUACUUAGCACAGAUGAAAGUUAAAACAAAGACGUUUAGCAAACUGUUAAAGCACACAAACCAUCGUCAUAUGAGAAAUCAGACGCUAUGACUCUCCACAAGUUGUCCUUCAGGUCGUUAUCUUUGCAAUAUUUGUGUUUUUUAUCAAAAAGCUCUCUGUUCUCCG